UUCUCCAGGGGAAGGGAGUGCUUUGAGGAGCUCCCUGCAGCCUCUCUGCCCUGCUUUAGUCACAGCUCAGCAGCAGGUCAGCUGGCUCUGCUGGAAGCUGACCAGGCAGACUGAUGGCGCCUGCACGAAGUCUUUAAGCAAUUUCUGCACCUUGAUCAUUUUCCCCUCAUCUUUUUUUUGUCCUUUACGUCCUUGAUUGCUGUUAUCCAGCCCUGAGAUAAUGCACUCCUGCUAUCACUGAGAUGGGAGAGACAAGCAAGGAGCAGGAGAUCAAAGGCAGGAGAAGAAAGAGAAGAUGCUAAAGGCAGGAGAAGAAAGAGGGGAAGAUGCCAAACACUUCCUUGAUUCACCUGCUUUACAUACCGGUUUGAGAUCCCUUUCCUGUGGUGUUUAUAAGGAAAUCCUGAGACCUAAGAAGAGCAGCCAAGGCUAACAACACUGAAUAUGGAGAUGGAGGAAACAUGAGAACACAGCAGCAGCUCUGCUUUGGAACGGGAUGGGUGAGAUAAAGGCAAAUCCAACAUUAAUGCAGCAUUCCUGCCAGAAACCAGCAGUCACUCCUGCAUUUCAUUUCCCUGCUUUAUUUAAAAAUACCCUUGGAAGCACUGCUGUUGA